rnacentral:rRNA from 1 species
CCUACGGGAGGCAGCAGUGGGGAAUAUUGCGCAAUGGGCGAAAGCCUGAUGCAGCGACGCCGCGUGAGGGAUGAAGGUCUUCGGAUCGUAAACCUCUGUCAGCAGGGAAGAACGGUCACUGUGUUAAUCAGCAGUGAAUUGACGGUACCUGCAAAGGAAGCACCGGCUAACUCCGUGCCAGCAGCCGCAGUAAUACGGAGGGUGCGAGCGUUAAUCGGAAUUACUGGGCGUAAAGCGCUCGUAGGCGGUAUGGCAAGUCAAGGGUGAAAUCCCCGCGCUCAACGUGGGAACGGCAUUUGAAACGGGCAGACUGGAGUGUGUGAGAGGGUAGUGGAAUUCCAGGUGUAGGAGUGAAAUCCGUAGAUAUCUGGAGGAACAUCAGUGGCGAAGGCGACUAUCUGGCACAUAACUGACGCUGAGGCACGAAAGCGUGGGUAGCAAACAGGAUUAGAUACCCGUGUAGUC